GGGACCGAGAGACUAGUGGGGAGAGGAAACCGACGGGACGAUCUCACAAUUAUUGAGAGUGAGUGGGAAACGUGCUGGGAUCGCUCUCAUUGGGCCGUGCCGCGGCGCACGCCUGCUAUUGACGCCAGUUCGCUCCAACUUUCCACGUACGCCAGUUUCCCAUGCAUUUCAAACUGCGCCGGCAACCGCAUUCAAAGCCCACCGAUCGCCGGAAAACCUCUCCCCUUCCCCUGUCACCAUCGCUAUUUAACCCGGCGCAUGGCUCUGCUUUUUCUACACAGCUCUCCAUUCUUCUCCUUCUUCUACACAUCUCUCCACUCCACUUCUUCAACCUGCCGCGCAACGCUCCCAUUGACGACAAGCAAUGGCGUUCGAAGGCCUCACCUUCAACCCGCCACCCCUCACUGACGAGGCGUUGUUCCCACCUGGCAAGCGUGUAGAGCGGACGCUCCAGGUGUGGGCGAUGUCGCGCAGCCGGAGCUCGAUGGCGCUGGCCAGGAACUUCCUCAACACCUGCUUCAGUCACCUGGAGGCUGGUGGCCCUCCAAUGUACCGCCUGGAGAGGCUCCACGAGCACGGCGUCAAAACCACCCUCCUGGUGCACCUCACCAACAGCCAUGACGCCGAUUACCUCCUUGGCCGCGUGUACUGGUGUGGAUGCGAGUUCAUCGCAUUCACGUUGUACAACGUGUACACCAACACUACGACCAUGUUCCCCCACGCCGGCAAGAUGCACGGCCUCCCGUACAUGGAGGAGGCGGAGGCGCCUGUGGAGGUGGCUGUCGAGGGGCCUGCGCCGGCUGUGGAGGAAUCUGAAGGCGAAGCCGAGGAGUGAGCGAUCAAUGGGCGUUUUUUUUUCAAAAUUAAUGUCGUUAAUGUAAGCCCUUGUCCGGCGAAGCGCAUCCCAGCGAAGCAAAGGAGGAUCCCGUCAAUUUCUUCGUCCAAACGAGGUCACCUGCAGACGCCACCCAUGGCCUCAUCGGUGGUUGUCUUCAGCUGCGGAGGAACCAACGCAUUAGCUUCGCCGGUGUGCUUCCUCUCGGUUGGUUCAGCAUUGGGCGUCGGAAGUGCUUUGGAUUCGUUGAUAUGCUUGGUAGCACUUGUUCUCUGACUGGUGUUGAUGUUGCAAAGCACCGUCUUGCAGCCUGCCGUACGAUGUUGCAGAAGUAUUCUCUUGGAGAUCUCGUACUAGACUUUGUUGCUGAUGGGACUCCAUUUUAGGGAGCACAGAAGAUUCAAUUGGUAUAGAGGACUAUGUAGGCAUAUUCUCAGAAUGGACUUCAAAUAAGAGAUCAUGGAAAGACAGCCAAAAGUCUAAAGGAGAACACAGCUGGUUCAUCUCAUCCACCAUCAACUUCUCAACCUGAACUGAUAUGUUAUGGCAAAGAUUCAGGAUAAUUUGGAUUGCAGAAAUGUGAUGUUCUUCAGCGUCAGAUGCUGCUGCCUGCACAUCUGGCUAUGAUAAGAAAUCAGGAGGCUGGGGUGAUAUGACCAGAGGUGAAAUGGAUCCAUUGUUGUUGAUGCUGCUACAGGAAAAGAAUUCUAGCUCUUGAUGCCUUGCAGACUGAAGCUAUUGCAGCUGAACUUGUUGUCAAGCUGGCAAAUGAGCUUGGCAUUACAAACAUUGCAUUAAACUUGAGUCUAGUCUGCUGGCUGCGGCUCUGGGUGAUGGGAACCGAGGGGCAGUGGCUUUAUGUUAGAUGGUAAAGUUGAAUGGAGUAUGGUUAACUCUUAAUCGUCUUCCUUCUGUACGGAGAAUUUGUAUUCUAUGUUGCCAUAAAAUUCUUUUGUUGAUCUGGAAUUUGUAUUUUAUUAGCACUGAGAGAAUUCUUUCGGGUAUUUUGUGCUUAAUUAGUGCACUGCUAUGUUUUCCA